UGUUCAUGUAGAUGUUUAAGC
rnacentral:miRNA from 2 species